GGCGGUGUAGCUCAGUUGGUCUAGAGCAUACGGUUCAUACCCGUAGUGUCGUAGGUUCAAAUCCUACCACCGCUACCA
rnacentral:tRNA from 6 species